rnacentral:lncRNA from 1 species
AAUUUGAUAAAGCUGAGAAGAACUGUUCGAAACACCUCAUCGUUGUUCUAUUCUUUCUGUAGACGCAUAUCACAGUUUGAGAGUUUCGAGCUUCUCUGUCUCUAUUUCCAAGGUAGUGAGUGUUUCUUCUUUGCAUCGAGAUUGGAAUCUCUUGUUGAUGUGACUUCCGUUGUUUCUAGACUAGUGCCUGAAUCUUCCUUUUUUUGUUGGGUCAUGGUUCGAUCUCUUUCGACUGAUUAUGCUCAGGUUGCUUUGUUGAAUUUGAUAGCUCUUCUGAUUUCUUUCUCACAUUGAUAAGCGUAGAUAUUAUGAAUGCUAGUUCCUUUGUGCAUAGUUGUGGAUUCUCUUAAUAGGGAAUUGCACAGAGAUGGGAAGUGAAGAAAAUGAAAAGAGUGCUCUUUUCGGAAGUUUGAAUUUUUGACUCAAGUAAACACAAGGAUUUCAUUGUUCAUUGCAUUGAUUUUUCUUAAGUGGUUACAACAUCGUCACCGUAGAUUUGAUAAGUUUAUUAUUAUUGGGGAAUGACCAGGUACAUUAUCUUUAGCACCUUAUGCUCAGUUAACUACAACAAUCUGCUAUUAAUGUCUCUUGGACAUUUUUUAGGAAGUGGUUUCCCACAGAGUAACUCAUUUCCAAUGUAAAUAGACGGAUCUUCAAACUUCAGAACCUUUGGUAUGCUCCCCUCUAGUUUAUUGAACGAAAGAUUCAGCCUUUGCAAAGAAGAUAUUGCUCCCAAGCUCUGAGGAAUGGCUCCAGAAAACCUGUUUCUUGAUAGAUCAAGCGUCUCUAAGCGACUGAGUUCUGAAAUUUUCCCGGGGAUGCUUCCUGCCAUGGAGUUUCUCGAUAAAUUCAGGAUUCGAAGGUAAGAAAGGCCCAAGAUUUCUGCUGGGAAUUCUCCGGUUAUGUUGUUUCCUGAAAGAUUUAUGCUGUUGACAAUGUCUUGGUAUUCACGAGCUCUUGUAACGAUGUAGACAAGAUUCUGGAACACUUCGAAGCUUGUACCAUGAGCAAUGGCUGUGAGGUUGCUGAUGCAUUUUGGGAUCGGGCCUGAGAUCUUGUUUCCUGAGAGAUCAAGAAUGUGUAGAUUCGGAACGCUGCAGAGAUCAUCUGG